rnacentral:lncRNA from 1 species
CCCCAGAACACAAGAUGGAAGAAUUUCCAUCAUCAAAGCAGAACAUCACAGGCGGCUGCAGGCAGCCUCAGGGCAGGACACAGUUGCUAAGCAACUCUUCCAUGGGUUGGAUGUCACAUCACUCGCAACCCCAACAACGCCAGGCACAUCGAGGAUGUUUUGCACUGGGGUUUCAGUAGGAAGGCAGCCAAUAAGGGGGUUAUUUUCCUUUGCUUCCGCAGCGCUUUCCAUGCUUCACUCCCAACAAGUCCAAAACUUCCCUUACUGAUAGUCCCCUUCCAAAAAGGAUUACUGGACAUCAGUAGUUGGGAGAAGCGUUUGAGUGGACCUGUUGCCCACGGCAUAAAUACUGACAUUGGGACCAUGGAGGUAAAAAACUUACGUCUCACAAUCAGGGAAGAUGAGGUUUAUCUGCAGAGGCAGGAAGCUACAGCACAAGUUGGUAUGAGAUGCCAUCAGGAAAACACUGAAAACUGAAGACAAGAGAAGUGGUCUUACCAGCCAGAAGCAACAUGGCUGUACCAGUUUGGACUGGAAGCAGAGGACAUCGAGGCUACCCCAGGGGCUUGCAGGCAGAAGAACUGUGAAGCUAGAGCUAUAAAUUUAAUCACUGUUCAUUGAUGUGGUGAUGUUGAGUGUAUUGAUGUAUUUUAUUGCUAAGCAGUGUAUUCUGCCUGUGUCCCCCCCCCUUGAGCAGAUUAACUGCAGAUUCCAAAAUACUGUCCAGCAGUGUCAUGCAUGUCAUACUGUUUUCACUUUGCUUGCCUCCCACAUAAAAGAACAGCUGUGAAUGUCAGCUGAGGCUUAUUCCUCUUGCACCAUGGCCUAUCAUUUUUACAAAAUAAAUAAAUAAAUGGCAAUCA